UAAUUGCUGUAAUUAUGCUAACAGGAGGAAACCCCUUAGGUCUUAAAAUUUUGGGUUUAUUUCUGCGUGGCAAGAACAAAGAGGAAUGGGAAAGUGCAUUGAGAAAACUUAAGGGGGCUCCUCACAAGAAAAUAAAAGAUGUAUUGAGAAUAAGUUACGAUGGGCUUGAUCGCGAGGAACAAAAAAUGUUUCUUGACGUUGCUUGCUUCUUUAAAGGGGAACCAAUAUGUCACAUAGAACGUCUGCUAAAUGCUUGUGAUAUUCAUGCCCAAAUUGCCUUGAGAGUACUUAAAGACAAGUCUUUGAUUACCAUAUCAAAUAGCUGUGUGCAUAGGCAUGACUUGCUGCAAGAAAUGGGUAGGGAUAUUGCUCGUCAAGAAUGUAUAAAAGAGCCGGGUAAACGCAGUAGGUUAUGGAAUCAUGAGGAUAUUUAUCAUGUAUUGACAAAAAAUAUUGUAAGUGCAAUUUGAUUUUUCCACAUCUUUUGUUACCAUUUAUAUUAGUAUUAGAGUUUUUAAGACAUUUGAACAAUUUCUAAGAGCUUGAAUUUUCCUUUCUUGGUUAGGGGACCGAAGCAGUUGAAGGCUUAUUUCUGGAUAAAUCAAAUUUAAAUACACUGCAUUUGGCUCCCACAAUUUUCUCUAAUAUGAAUCAAAUAAAAUUUCUCAAAUUUCAUUAUUCAAAUGUUAAUGUGGACAACGUUUGGAGUUGUGAUGAACUCAUCAAAUAUGUUCCCAAUGAUGUGCACUUUCCUGAGGGUCUUGCAUCUCUUCCAGAGGAACUAAGGUUUUUGCAAUGGCAUUUUUAUCCUUUGAAGUGUUUGCCAUCACAAUUUCAUACGGAGAAACUCGUGGAGCUUAACAUGUCUGGUAGCCAUGUUAGAAGUCUUUGGAAUGGAGUGCAGAAUCUUGCAAAUUUGAAAGUUAUCAAACUACGUCACUGUAGAAGCUUGAUUGAAAUGCCUAACCUUAGUGGGGCAAAGAAUUUGGAGACUCUAGACUGUCGAGGGUGUACAAGUUUGGUUGAGAUUUGCCCAUCUAUUGGAUGUCUCCAAAAGCUUCAAUCAUUAGAAUUGUCAUAUUGUAGAAAUAUAACAAGUUUGCCAAGUACCAAAGGUUUGACAUCUUUUGAAACACUUAUUCUCUCUUACUGCUCAAAAAUAAAAAGGUUUCCAGAGAUUCCAGAGAGUAUAGAAACCUUACGAAUGAAGGGAACAGCAAUAGAAGAAAUACCCUCAUCAAUUGGUUUGCUCUCUCGACUUAAGGUACUAAGUUUGCGUGACUGCAAAAACCUUAAGAUUCUCCCAAACACAUUUUUCCAAUUGGGACAUCUUGAUAACCUUUCUAUAUGUGGGCCAUAUGUCAAUCCAUUAGUGCUUAUAAGUAAACUUGCUUCCUUUUCGUCCUUGACUAAAUUAUCUCUACAAGGAAGCAAGUUUGAGACCUUACCUUCAAGCAUUAAGCUUGUUUUGGGGCUUCGAGAACUCUACUUGAAUUAUUGCACAAGGCUUCAAUCUUUGCCACAUCUUCCACUGUAUUUGGUUGUUCUGAAUGCGUCUUAUUGCACAUCUUUGCGAGCAGUUUCAAACUCACUAAUGGCACUCACACAAGAUUGGGGAUUUUUUUAUUUUGUGAAUUGCGGAAGUUUGAAUCAGCAGGAACAUAGAAACAUUCUAAGACUUGUGCGACACAGAAUAUUACAUGUGGCACAUGUAACAAUCAAACAAGGUCAGGAUGUUUAUAGCAGCGACAAAUUUUUGGCAGAGCAAUUGACCUUCAUUCUUCCUGGAAAUAAAAUCCCAAAUUGGAUCCAACAUCAAAGUGAAGGAGAUUCAAUUACUGUUCCUCUACCUUCAGAUUGGUACCACAAUUUCUUGGGUUUUGCACUGAGUGCGGUUUUUAAAUUGGGCCAUACAACAAAUCCUAGGUGGAUGAAAUUGGAAUGCCAGUUGAAUUCCAACUGUGGCGAAAGCUAUUGUAUAUCUGCAAAGUUUGACUAUUGGGAAUCAGAUGGAUUUCGACCGACAGAGCAAUUGUUUGUGUCCUACAAUAACAAGUUUUGUAUCAAUCUUGAGGAUAAAGGAGGCAGCGUGCCAUGUUAUAAUGAGGCAUUAUUUAAGUUUCUGGUUGUAGAUGAGUAUGGCAAUUCUUUGGCUUCUUCCUUGCUGAAGUGUGGGGUCCAACUACUCCAUGAUGGUGAUGAAUCAAGUGAGGACCCAAGUCACAACUGUUCUUUUGAUGAUGAUGAGGUUGAUAAAUCCAGUCAAGUGGCACAUUCAACUUUGUUCAGGAAGAAGAGGAAGCUGCAGAUGAAACUAGUAGGUAAGAUGAAGAGGAAGUGGUUGAUGAAUCCGGUGACAUGUGCAGCUACAUUGAGGAAGAAGAGGAAGAUGAUGAAAUAAAUAGUAGGUCAGAUGAUGAGGAUGAAACCAGUGAAGAGGAAGAAGAUAAGGUCUGAUUAUGAUAAAGAGGAAGAAGAGAAAGCUGCAAAUGAAAUAAAUAGGAGAGAUCAAGAGGAUAAGGAGUCCAGCGACACGUUCAGCUUAAUGAGUAAUAAAUUUUAUCAAUUUCUUAUGUUGAUCCACUUUGUGACAUCAGACACUCUUUUCUCUACGUAUAAGAUUCAGCAGAUUUUAUUACAAACUGAUGUGAUGGUGUAAUACUUCAUUGUAGUUCCAUAUUUGUUCUACUUUAAUUCUGAAAAAAAUAAAAUAAAC
rnacentral:misc_RNA from 1 species